rnacentral:piRNA from 1 species
UGGCAGCUCCAUUUACUAGAAGGUGAAC